UUGAGCCGAAUAUGGGGGGACCUCUACGUCCGGUUCUUUAGGGGGCGGUGGUGCAGUAAUGCGCUGCUCCUACCCGAC
rnacentral:autocatalytically_spliced_intron from 1 species